rnacentral:rRNA from 1 species
AUUGAACGCUGGCGGCAUGCUUUACACAUGCAAGUCGAACGGCAGCGCGGGCUUCGGCCUGGCGGCGAGUGGCGAACGGGUGAGUAAUACAUCUGAACGUGCCCAGUAGUGGGGGAUAGCUCGGCGAAAGCCGGAUUAAUACCGCAUACGACCUUAGGGUGCAAGCGGGGGAGCUUCGGACGGCUCGCUAUUUGGGCGGGCGAUGGCCGAAUAGCUAGUUGGUGGGGUAAAGGCCUACCAAGGCGGCGAUCGGUAGCUGGUCUGAGAGGACGACCAGACACCCUGGGACUGAGGCACGGCCCAGACUCCUACGGGAGGCCGCAGUGGGGAAUUUUGGACAAUGGGCGAAAGCCUGAUACAGCACUGCCGCGUGUGUGAUGAAGGCCUUCGGGUUGUAAAGCACUUUUGGCGGGAACGAAAAGGACUGUGCCAAUACCACGGUUCGAUGACGGUACCCGGAGAAUAAGCACCGGCUAACUACGUG